CAACCUACCUAUCAGAGGGGAAUAACCCGGCGAGAGUCGGACUAAUACCGCAUAAAACAGGGGCACCGCAUGGUGAUAUUUGUUAAAGAGAUUCGCUGAUAGAUGGGCAUGCGUUCCAUUAGGUAGUUGGUGAGGUAACGGCUCACCAAGCCGACGAUGGAUAGGGGAACUGAGAGGUUGGUCCCCCACACUGGUACUGAGACACGGACCAGACUCCUACGGGAGGCAGCAGUGAGGAAUAUUGGUCAAUGGGCGAGAGCCUGAACCAGCCAAGUCGCGUGAAGGAAGAAGGAUCUAUGGUUCGUAAACUUCUUUUGCAGGGGAAUAAAGUGCGGGACGUGUCCUGUUUUGUAUGUACCCUGAGAAUAAGGAUCGGCUAACUCCGUGCCAGCAGCCGCGGUAAUACGGAGGAUCCGAGCGUUAUCCGGAUUUAUUGGGUUUAAAGGGUGCGUAGGUGGUUUGAUAAGUCAGCGGUGAAAGUUUGCAGCUUAACUGUAAAAAUGCCGUUGAAACUGUCGGACUUGAGUGUAAAUGAGGUAGGCGGAAUGCGUGGUGUAGCGGUGAAAUGCAUAGAUAUCACGAAGAACUCCGAUUG
rnacentral:rRNA from 1 species